rnacentral:lncRNA from 1 species
CAUAUUAAUGCACUGUUGCAGAGUUGCAAAUUUUAUCUGUUACAUUGAAUGGUAAAUGCACUAGAUGGCACUUCACUUCACCCAGGUGCUUGCUUUGGCUGUGUCUUGCUCCUUUGCCUACCAUGGUUGAAAUUCGUAGACGGCCGUACCAAGAUUUUUCAUUUUGAUAUAUAUUUAUUAUUAGACAGUUCGAUAUAUUGGUGGCCCAUUAGAGUAGUUGUUGAUCUGGUUUAGAGUAUCAUUAUGUCAUGGUGAUUUUGUCGGUUCUCCUGCUU